GACGAACCACACAAACGUUAUUCGGAAUUACUGGGCUUAAAGGGUGCGUAGGCGGCGCGGCAAGUUGGGUGUGAAAUCCCUCGGCUCAACCGAGGAACUGCGCUCAAUACUACCGUGCUCGAGGGAGACAGAGGUGAGCGGAACUUAGGGUGGAGCGGUGAAAUGCGUUGAUAUCCUAAGGAACACCCGUGGCGAAAGCAGUGUCCUGGGGAGUACCUGACGCUCAGGUGCGAAAGCCAGGGGAGCGAACGGG
rnacentral:rRNA from 1 species